rnacentral:rRNA from 1 species
GACAGAGGGUGCAAACGUUGUUCGGAAUUACUGGGCGUAAAGCGCGUGUAGGCAGCUCGGAAAGUCGGGUGUGAAAGCCCUGGGCUCAACCUAGGAAGUGCACUCGAAACUUCCGAGCUGGAGUGCUGGAGAGGAAGGCGGAAUUCUCGGUGUAGAGGUGAAAUUCGUAGAUAUCGAGAGGAACACCGGUGGCGAAGGCGGCCUUCUGGACAGUUACUGACGCUGAGGAACGAAAGCGUGGGGAGCAAACAGG